rnacentral:rRNA from 1 species
GGGUGAUUGGGUUGGCACUGGGUCGUCCUCUCCCCCACCCGUCCACUCUCCUCUCCUCACCGAUCCCCUCCCAACCCUAGCCGUCGCUACCCAUCGAGCCCUGCAGCCGCCGCCGUGCUGCCGUUCUCCUCUCCCCUCCCCUCCCCUCCCGCGCGCCUUUCUCUCUCGAGACGCCGUUGCCGCCACCCAUCGCCUCGAACCAGCUCGUCCCACCUCCUCCUCUCCCUCUCUCGAUCUCCUCUGCCUCGCACGCCGCCACCGCUCGCCCUCGCGCCGCCGCCUCCGUUCGCCCUCCUCUGCCUCGCACACCGCCACCGCUCGCCCUUGCGCUGCCGCCGUCUCCGUUGCCCAACCUGCUGGAUCCCCACCAUCCACUUCUCCGGCGUCGUCGCCUCGUCUCGCGUGCACGCGGCAGGAGGAGCGAGGGAGACGUGGAGCCGCCGCUAGGAACGCCACCGUCGUCUUCGCGUGCACACGACAGGAGGAGCGGGGGAGGCGUCGAGCCGCAACUGGGAACGCCGGAUGCGAUUAUCUGGUCAGUCAGCCCUGCCAGCCUCAUGUACCUAGCACGAGAUGAAAGAGGGAUUUAGAGAAGGGAGGGAGCAGGAGGAGAAGAGGAAGAAGAAACCCUACCACCUCCAUGCCCGUCCAGUGCUUCGUGCGGCUCUGCACCCCAAUCAUUCCACCUCCAUGCCCCUCCAAUUUCUCUAUCCCUUUUUUGCAGAAUAGGGAUUGAGAAUUGGUCAAUAUGCUGAACGGAUACAUUCACUGGAAAGGAGGGGUUGCUGAUGUUGUGAGCUUGAUUGCCUUUGUGAGUUCCAACCAGAUUGUGCUUUGCAGUAAUUGUUGAUCCCAAAAUGCUGCCCCGACACGAGCCACCGCCGUUCGUCCGGAGAAGCGCGGGAAGAAGAAGAUGGAUGUGUUGAGACCUUGAUGGGAUGGAGAGACGUUUCCUUUCAAAAAUUACCGCUAGAAAUAGUAGAGAGAAAGCUCAAGCACGGAAAUGAGCAGUUAAUUAUAUUUGCCAGGGUUCUGCUGCUGAUAUUAUCAAGGUGGCUAUGCUUAACAGUCACUCUGUAAUUACCAAUGGGAGUAACACACUUGAUUCUAUGGAUGGGCUAACGCAGAACUUUUAACAAAUCAGCGGGUGUUGUCACCUUCUUUUGCAGGUGCAUGAUGAAUUUGUGCUUGAAGUUGACCCGUCUAGGGUAGCAGAGGCUGUAAGGAAUCCCCGGGCCAUCCAGUGCGUGCUGUCAGUUUGACCCAGGAGCGGCGCGGCAGAGGCGUUGGGCAAGGAGCACUCGCCGGAGGCGCUUGAUGCGGCUCCUCCAUCUAUGUCCAUUGCAGGAGACGAUGAUGUCGUGUUGGGCUCGGACCUUGUUGACCGCCAUCUUGGCCUGCAAGAGGAUGCUCCCCUGCUCCGACUUGCUCAGCACAUGGUUACUGAAAAUUCUGGUUUCCUGUAACUAUCAGGUGGUCUGAUGCAGGUUCAUGAGGUUAUUGUCAACAGAAGCAGUUCAUAGAUAGGGAUUAGAGGAAGCAGCUUAUAAAUGGGGACAAUGUUGUUACUGUUUCUUUUCCUUAUAUUUGCGGGGAUGCCAGGGCUGACUGCCUUGUGCGUACCAUGGUGAGGAGUAGCAAUAUGCAUAUUUGCUCCCUCUAGCGAGCACCACGGAGGAGGUGAGGGGCCAUUAGGGAGUAAAUAAAACAUUUGAUGAGUGUUGCAUGCCCGCGCGCGUUGUCGGAGAGGUCAGAUCACUGCAGUUUUGUGGUACCACAAAAAUCGUUUUAUUUUCCUUAAUUGUAACUCUAAAUUAUGUCCAGAUCACCCAUGUCUAUUUUCCUUCAUGGAUAGUGUAUUCUCAUUUUUCAACUAGACAAAUUUUAUCCUUUGAAUUACUGCAAUAUAAGUUGGCACGAACAAUUCUAUUUAAAGAUAUACUAUCCGAGGCGUGAAAAAGAAGAUGGCGUAGGUUGAUGGUCUAGCUAUUUUAUAAUCCCUUUUAUUGAGAUCAGAUGAAGUUUAGUCUGGUCUUGCUCUGAAUUUCUUUGCAUUGUUUGGUAUCCAAAUUAGCGUUAGGUUUCAGAUAGCAGAGUAAUUGAUGAGCGGCACACAUGACCAUGAUGAGCGGCACACAUGAGCACAUACGGUUCUUUGAACAAACACACACACACGCGCGCGCACACACACGCAAACACAGACUCAGACGUGCACAGAUUUUUGAGGUACUCACAAACAUGAAGCACGUACUUUGUUGUUCAGUAAAAUAUGCGUUAGAACCUUUUUUUUUCUUACCAGAUAAUUUAGCAGGCAUACAUGAACAAAUGAGAAAUGAGUGAUUCUAACAUGAGAAGAUGAGGGAUGACAUAUGCCUACUCGUCAUGAAGCAUAUCAGCAUGUGGAUUAAUAAUAGAAAGGGGAGGAAACUUGCUUCUCUGCAUUUUUAUUAUAGUUUAAAAGGGCAAAUUGUCGACAUUCUAAAUGUUAGGAAAGGAACCUACAGAGUCCAUGUGUAAGUAUUCAGAUUAAUGCUCUGAAAGUAUUAUAAUCCACACUCGAAUGUAUUAAUACUCACACAAUAGACAGGCCAUGGCAGGCAGCAAAUGUAUAUGUCAAUUUAUGAUGUUUUUCACAUGAUAAUAACACUAUCAGCAUGCUAAUUAUAUGUUGUGGAGGUGGCGAGGUACUAGAUCCGCUAUCAUCAUAGUACCGAUUGUAAAACAAAAUACAUCCAGAGCUGACCGAGAUAGACCAGCAACCAUUACCAUAGACAAUGCCUUUUCAGGUUUUCCCUUGUAUUAAACUACAGGUUACGCUCGCUAUUGGUUCGGUGUCCAAACAGUUUCAUGUUAGAUUUAGUAGUAUAAUUAGGUGACACAAGAAACUAGACAAAGGCUGGUUUGAUCCAUACACAUAUGGACUGACAACAACAACCAAAUCUUUAGAUAGGAAAAAAUAGCUAAACAUGGUUAUAAAGUUUUGGCUAUUUUUUGGAUUGAAGAAAUAUGACGUCUGCUGUAGCUCUAAAUGCCUACCGUUCUCUUUCCUUGGCAAUGUUUGUGCCUUCUGAGAAUAGGUUUGCUGUCAAGUGACGUCAUGCAACAUGGAUUUAGAACGAAGAGUAAGAUAUGUUUCCGUACAACGACUACUGGAUCGAUAGUACAAAAUAAAUAGCUUGAAUGGAUUUAGUAUUAAGAACAAAAUAAGAUACGGAAAUUCUAAAGCUACCCUUGUGGAUCGAUUGAUAAAUCCAUGUAAUAUUUUGAUAAAGAGUUAAAUCUGUAAGUACUCUAAAUCUGUAUACGUUGUUUGAGUGCCGUUUAAUUAAGAUACUAGACUAUAUUGGUACACAUAUAUUUGGAUGCUUGUGAUUGGCUGGAAAGAACAGAGACUUAGAUUUGCUGUUGGACUGAACUGAGUAGCUAUAGCCUUCUGGCUGAUGCUUCAGUAUACCAAAACACUUGCUAUUUUUCAUGUUCUUGUACGAGAUGGGUUUAGGACACAAACAAUUAUUUGUUUUAUCUACGAAAAACUUUUUCUUCAAGACUACAGUAUGUUGAAUGCCUUUCGUGCUUAGUUGAAAUAUAAGUACUGCUUGUAUGUGAUUUCAAUCCAGCUUGACCAAUUUUCUUUGCUCUGUUUUUUUCCCUCCCUCUCCACUGAAUAUGACCAUGUUCAAAAUAAAAUGUGCAUUACCACUUAUGAGAGUAGCCGAUAUUUCAUUUUUGUUGGGACUGUUCUUUCUAGGUGUAUAUUCCUUCUCUGAAUGUUUAUUACCAUGGAACUCGAGUAUCCAGUCUGUAUAGCUGUAUACCUCAUUUUAAGAAAAAAAACUUGAGUGUCCAUUAUACAUGAAUGAGUACAUCUAUAAAGUAAAUUGACCACAAUGAGACAUCAGUUUUGUUUACCUUUGAAUAUAAUGAGCACAUGUUGAAGGUUUGCUCAUCCCGCUUUUUCUAUAGCCCGUAUGAGCUUUAGUCGGAGCACUGUGUGUCGAUGAUACAUAUAUUUUCAACUACCUAAGGUCACUUAGUUCUGUGUAAAGUAGAUUGCACUUGGUACAAUUGUUGAUGGAUUGACUUGCUUUCAUUUUUUGAGCCUUAAGCACCUAAUUUAGUUUUGAGUUCUACUCCUCUCAUUUAGACUGCAGGGUAAAUCAUUGCAUUGGAAACUAGAAGUGAAAUGGAAGGUAAGAAUCUCAUUUUGGCAUCCACUAUGGAUACAUGUGGAGAUAGAGAAAGGUAGAUUGAUCAAAAGACUUGCAAAAAUCAAAGAGGAGUAGGGAGAGAUCAAUGAGGUUGCUGAAAUCAUGCAAGAAGUUGCUUUAAGUUUGCACGCGCACUAGAAUUAUGGAUAAACCGUUCAUAUACUGUACUCAUGAUGUGCUCAUCUUGCUGGUGCUCUUUUCUGACAACCUUUAUUUUUUUUCUCAACCAGGAAUUUGAUUCUCAGUUGAAACAUUUGGCCAAUGGCAAAGAUACAGAAACUCAUUUGUUCUGGAGCAGAUACAUCAAAGGAAAAAAGGAACUAAAUAAAUGUGACAAUAUGGUUUAGAAAGCCCCAAAGCCGAGGUGAGCCGCCUCCUCCUUUUUGUGCCUUUCCAUGUGGCUCUCCUUCAUAGAAAGCCCCAAUAUACAUCGAAGGAAGCAGAGAGGCGAGAUGUGAUAUGAACCACCAAUCGCCCCUCCAGCGACUAGGCCUUCUCCCUCAUCCUCAGCCCCGCCGUUGCCACUGACGCCUUCGGGAGUAGGGGAGGCAUCAGUGACGUUGCCAACAAGGCAGCGGUUGUGGUUGGGGUUUAGCACUAGGUUCCCUGCUGCUGCAUCUGCUGGGAAACACUGCUAUGCCUGUUGUCCGGUGGCGGGGUUUGGGCAUGCGGUGGGUACUCCUUCGGAUUGGCAUGGAUGCCUCCGUGCUUAGAGUGUGUUGUACCUACAGGUUCCCAGGGUUUGUCUACACUUAUCUUUAAGGCUACAACCUGGAGUCUCAUGGAGGUGUGAAGAUGAUACCUAAGUAGUCUAGGACAUUGCUUUGUUAGGGGUUCGCCUAUGUACAAGAAUGACAUGUUCCUUUCCCAUGUAAUAUAUUGUGAUUUUUUUUGCUCAACAUCAUCUGGACUAUGUAUCUUUGUAUGGUAGUAAACGGUAUCCUGCUUUUUGGUUUGGACCUGAGCACUAAUUGGAUAAGCUGC